rfam:Triticum aestivum genome assembly, contig: Triticum_aestivum_CS42_TGACv1_scaffold_556982_7AL
UAUGUACUCCCUCCGUUCGGAAUUACUUGUCGCAGAAAUGAAUGUAUCUAGAUGUAUUUUAGUUCUAGAUACAUCCAUUUCCAAGACAAGUAAUUCCGAACGGAGGGAGUAGUAA